rnacentral:lncRNA from 1 species
UUCAGCUUCGAGGGUUUCAAGAACAGAGCAGUUCUUGCUCUUAGUGAUUUCACGGGAUUGGAUUGAAGGAACUUCAAGGAAGGAAAAUUGGAUUGAAGGAACUUAGAAGAAUUCAGGAUCCAGUCCAGUAUACAGGACCAGGAAGCCUGGGACUUGGUGGGAACCUGACAAAUCGGAACCUGACGACCGGAACUCCACCACCGGAACUCCACCACGGGAACUCUUUCAGAAGCGAGGGGUCCAUUGGUUAAAAAGAUCCAGGACUAACAUCCACCUCAGCAUACCUUACCAUAAAUGGUCAGCUUCGAAGCCCUCCAAUCAGACUCUGACAAGCCAACAUUCCUAAAUCCUUUCCCUUGCCCUCUGAUCCCUAAAACUUGCUGCAGACCCCAAACUGGGGAGACAGUUUGGGACCCUGUUCUCCUUGCUGUCUGGCUUUGCAAUAAAGCCUUUUUUUUCUCAAGCGC